UUAACACGUAGGAGGCAAGCGUUAUCCGAAUUUACCGGGCGUAAAGCGCGUGCAGGCGGUUCGGUAAGUUGGAUGUGAAAUCUCUUGGCUCAACUGGGAGAGGUCGUUCAAUACUGUCGGACUAGAGGAUGGUAGAGGGAGGUGGAAUUCCCGGUGUAGUGGUGAAAUGCGUAGAUAUCGGGAGGAACACCAGUGGCGAAAGCGGCCUCCUGGACCAUUCCUGACGCUCAGACGCGAAACUAGGGGAGCGAACGGGAUUAGACACCCCGGUAGUCCUAGCUGUAAACGAUGUGGACUUGGCGUCGGUGGGGUAAAAGCCAUCGGUGCCGGAGCUAACGCGGUAAGUCCACCGCCUGGGGACUACGUGCCGCAAGGUUAAAACUCAAGGAAUUGACGGGGGCCCGCAC
rnacentral:rRNA from 1 species